UUUUAAAGCUGUUGAUAAAUUUGUUAGUUAAGUAUCUGAAUCUUGAAAAUUUAAAGUUGAAACUAGGAUUAGAUACCCUAUUAUUUUAAAUGUAGGUUUUAACGCUAAGGUAGUAUUAGUUAUGUUCUUGAAACUUAAAAAAUUUGGCGGUAUUUUAGUCUAUUCAGAGGAACCUGUUCUGUAAUCGAUAGUCCACGUUGGAUCUUACUUAAUUUUGUUUUUCAAUUUGUAUACCGCCGUUAUUGAAUAUUUUAUUAGAACAAUAAUUUUCAAUAAUUUUUAUUGGAAUUAAUAUCAGGUCAAGGUGCAGUUUAUGGUUAAGUAGAAAUGGGUUACAAUAAAUUUAUUUAUUACGGAUGAUUUUAUGAAAUUGAAAUUUGAAGGUGGAUUUGAUAGUAAAGUUGAAUAGAUUAUCAAUUUGAUUUUGGCUCUAAAAUAUGUAC
rnacentral:rRNA from 1 species